rnacentral:rRNA from 1 species
AGCGUAGACGGCAAGGCAAGUCUGAAGUGAAAGCCCGGUGCUUAACGCCGGGACCGCUUUGGAAACUGUUUAGCUGGAGUGCCGGAGAGGUAAGCGGAAUUCCUAGUGUAGCGGUGAAAUGCGUAGAUAUUAGGAAGAACACCAGUGGCGAAGGCGGCUUACUGGACGGUAACUGACGUUGAGGCUCGAAAGCGUGGGGAGCAAACA